rnacentral:rRNA from 1 species
GCGCCAUAGGACCCUGAAAGCACUGCAUCCCGUCCGAUCUGCAAAGUUAAGCAGCGGUACCGCCUAGCUAGUACUGCCGGUGGGGGACCACGCGGGAAUCCUAGGUGCUGCAGUUU